ACGGGAUGACGUUCUCUUUCUGCUUCAGCAUGAAACCGUCCAAGUGAUCAUUCUGAGGGAGAGAAGCCAGAAGAAAGAACAACAUGAGGAAACCCGAGUCUAAACACGGCUCACAGACAAGGUACAGUAGGGGCUCAUGCUUUGCUCAUCACUGCAGAUGAAUACAGAGGAGUAAAGACGAGAGCUUUGAUGAGCCUGUUUGGGAUCAGAACUGACCGAUGAUGGAAGGACUUCCUGUUUGGAGACGGCGGCUUCGUAAAGGGCCAUUCUGUCCCGCAGAGGAGCAGACUCAGCAAGACCUUCAUCUGUCCAGUGGAAGAAGAUGGUAAAAGGAAAACGGUGCCUUUUAAAACAGGGACGACUGUUAUGUUAUGGAGUGCAGAUUGUGCUCGCUGGUUACGCAGGCUGAGGACGGGAGCAUGAGGUCUGGUGUGUGUAGGGAAACAACACCAGGUCAUGUCCUGUCUCUCAAAGCAUCUGCUGAUCAGCGGCUACAACGCCUCUGGGAAGAUGUGACCACACAGGAAGAACAAGAACCAAGGCACAGUCGUGUUUUACCUUUGACGUUAUGUUAUUUCAUUUAAUUUAUGUGGCUGUAAACAAUAUUUUUGUAAUUUUAUUUAAAAAGGAAACAAUAUCAACAGAUUCAGGUCAUGUUGCUGCUUCUUUGUUAUAUAUUAAUGGAAAUCUUCUGUUUCAUUUAAACAUUUGUGGCUACGGCUAAACAAAGGGAACACUCGUGUACCUCCUAGCAGCUGAUCCAUGUUGGCUGCGUUACCACCUGCUCCUUUACUAGUCUGCUCUCUGGACUCCUUCAAGAAACACACAAAAACACAGAUGAGUAAGAAAACUAAAUGCAAACAAACAUUGUGCUCAGUGUAAAAUGCUCACGUUUCAGCUCGUAGAGGAAAAAGACUGGAAGCAGUGCUGUCCAUCAGAAAAAUCAAAAGGGAAGAAAGAAAAAGCACAAAGACAAGAGGUAAAGUGUGUGUGUGUGUGUGUGUGUGUGUGUGUGUGUGUGUGUGUGUGUGUGUGUGUGUGUGUGUGUGUGUGCACGUAAUCCCCUUAUGAGCUCAGUGAGACAGUCUGAGACGCCCCAUCUGUCCAGAGUCACCAGCCAAAACAAACUGAUCAUCUCUGCUUGAGUUUAUCUGACAGCGCCUCCUCAAAUUAAAAAAAAAAAAAAAUGCAGGUUAAUUUUCCCCAAUGUGGGAUCAAUAAAGUUCGAUUAAAAAAAAAAAAA